AUUGAACGCUGGCGGCAGGCCUAACACAUGCAAGUCGAACGAGUGGCGGACGGGUGAGUAAUGUCUGUGAACCUGCCUGACGGUGGGGGAUAACUACUGGAAACGGUAGCUAAUACUGCACAUCAUCAGAUGUGCCCAGAUGGGAUUAGCUAGUUGGUGGGGUAACGGCUCACCAAGGCGACGAUCCGUAGCUGGUCUGAGAGGAUGACAAGCCACACUGGAACUGAGCCGCGGUCCAGACUCCUACGGGAGGCGGCAGUGGGGAAUAUUGCACAAUGGGCGCAAGCCUGAUGCAGCCAUGCCGCGUGUAGGAAGGGGGCCUGCGGGUUGUAAAGUACUUUCAGCGGGGAAGCGUUACCCGCAGAAGAAGCACCGGCUAACUCCGUGCCAGCAGCCGCGGUAAUUC
rnacentral:rRNA from 1 species